GACGAACGCUGGCGGCGUGCUUAACACAUGCAAGUCGUACGGUAAGGCCCUUUCGGGGGUCCACGAGUGGCGAACGGGUGAGUAACACGUGAGUAACCUGCCCACAACUUUGGGAUAACGCUAGGAAACUGGUGCUAAUACUGGAUAUGUGCUCCUGCUGCAUGGUGGGGGUUGGAAAGCUCCGGCGGUUGUGGAUGGACUCGCGGCCUAUCAGCUUGUUGGUGGGGUAGUGGCCUACCAAGGCGGCGACGGGUAGCCGGCCUGAGAGGGUGACCGGCCACAUUGGGACUGAGAUACGGCCCAGACUCCUACGGGGGGCAGCAGUGGGGAAUAUUGCACAAUGGGCGCAAGCCUGAUGCAGCAACGCCGCGUGCGGGAUGACGGCCUUCGGGUUGUAAACCGCUUUCAGCAGGGACGAAGCUUUUUGUGACGGUACCUGCAGAAGAAGCACCGGCUAACUACGUGC
rnacentral:rRNA from 1 species